AGAAGCAGCCAUCAUUUAAAGAAAGCGUAAUAGCUCACUGGUCGAGUCGGCCUGCGCGGAAGAUGUAACGGGGCUAAACCAUGCACCGAAGCUGCGGCAGCGACACUGUGUGUUGUUGGGUAGGGGAGCGUUCUGUAAGCCUGUGAAGGUGGCCUGUGAGGGUUGCUGGAGGUAUCAGAAGUGCGAAUGCUGACAUAAGUAACGAUAAAGCGGGUGAAAAGCCCGCUCGCCGGAAGACCAAGGGUUC
rnacentral:rRNA from 1 species